rnacentral:rRNA from 1 species
UCCCUAUGGGGUGCAGCAGUCGCGAAAAUUUUGCAAUACACGAAAGUGUGACAGAGCUAUCCCGAGUGCCAUCCGCUGAGGAAGGCUUUUACCCAGUAUAAAUAGCUGGGAGAAUAAGGAGAGGGCAAGUCUGGUGUCAGCCGCCGCGGUAAUACCAGCUCUCCGAGUAGUGUGGACGUUUAUUGGGCCUAAAGCAUCCGUAGCUUGCUAGAUAAGUCCCCUGUUAAAUCCACCGAUUCAAUCGUUGGAUUGCGGAGGAUACUGUUUGGCUAGGGGACGGGAGAGGUCGACGGUAUUUCCGGGGUAGGGGUGAAAUCCUAUAAUCCCGGGAAGACCACCAGUGGCGAAGGCUGUCGACUAGAGCGCGCCCGACGGUGAGGGAUGAAAGCUGGGGGAGCGAACCGGAUUAGAUACCCGGGUAGUCCCAGCUGUAAACGAUGCAGGCUAGGUGUUUGGGCGGCCACGAGCCGCCCUAGUGCCGCAGGGAAGCUGUUAAGCCUGCCGCCUGGGGAGUACGGCCGCAAGGCUGAAACUUAAAGGAACUGGCGGGGGAGCACCACAAGGGGUGAAGCUUGCGGUUUAAUUGGAUUCAACGCCGGGA